rfam:Stegodyphus mimosarum contig51143, whole genome shotgun sequence.
GCCUUCGGGGCGUAAUGGUCAGCACAUUCGACGCGUAUUCAAGAGGCCCGAGGUUCGAGUCCCGGCGAAGGCA